rnacentral:lncRNA from 1 species
CACAACCGGGCCCGCCUCGACAUUCUGACACCAGCUGGCAGCAGCCAAGCUCUGCCCUCAGGAGCACUCACCCAGCAGUCCAAGCCAUUAGCGGCCACGAGAGCCACAUGCUUCGGACAGGCGGGCCACAGCGGGGCCUCCCGGGCUCACAGCGAUUAUCUUCCCCAGCCAGUGAACUUCCUGGAGGCCCGUCCUGAAGGACUGGGUUUGUCAUGAGAGCCCACACGACAGGAUUUGCAGAGCCGGCCGCCACGGAGCAGAGGCUGGGAUUCCAGGCACUCUUGCCUAGCGGGUCAUCCGUCUGACUUCAGCAGAAACGCACAGCCGAUGACCCAGACCCGCCGCCAGCACCUGCACUUGAAGAAUUCAGAGUCACCCUGAACGGGUCUGAAUUGGCAGGCUUUCACAGAGCCCCACACAUCCUCAAGUAUACAGCUGCCAUGGGUCACAUAAAAUAUAUGCCACCACAUCCUACCACGGCAAAAGUCAUACCUGUCCCCGGGUGGAGUCCAGCAUGGAUUUCUGGCCACCUGUACACCUGGAAUUUCCUGAUCUGCAGUCACUAAAUAUUUUCAGUAAAAGCAAUUAUUAUAUGACAAAAUAAAAGGCUUCCUUUUCAUACUUUUGAAAAACAUGAUGAUAAAACAAAUCAGAAAAAAUG